GACGAACGCUGGCGGCGUGCUUAACACAUGCAAGUCGAACGGAAAGGCCCUGCUUUUGGGGGGUGCUCGAGUGGCGAACGGGUGAGUAACACGUGAGUAACCUGCCCCUGACCUGGGGAUAACUUUAGGGAACUGGGGCUAAUACCGGAUAUGAUCUUCUGCCGCAUGGUGGGGGUUGGAAAGUUUCGGCGGUUGGGGAUGGACUCGCGGCUUAUCAGCUUGUUGGUGGGGUAGUGGCUUACCAAGGCUUUGACGGGUAGCCGGCCUGAGAGGGUGACCGGCCACAUUGGGACUGAGAUACGGCCCAGACUCCUACGGGAGGCAGCAGUGGGGAAUAUUGCACAAUGGGCGGAAGCCUGAUGCAGCAACGCCGCGUGCGGGAUGACGGCCUUCGGGUUGUAAACCGCUUUCGCCUGUGACGAAGCGUGAGUGACGGUAAUGGGUAAAGAAGCACCGGCUAACUACGUG
rnacentral:rRNA from 1 species